CAGUAUUCACUGCUUUGAUCUUUUCAUUCAUGAAGAAGUGCCUUCUUUACUAGUGUAUUAGUGGAGAACAAAUUAAAGUAUGGAACAGGCAUAGGAAUUGUGCCUGGAAUACUUUUUCUUGGUGCUUCACCUGGAGAACCAAGAAAAGCAGAAGCAGAAAGGACAAGGAGUGAAACAAAUGGUGUUACUCAGAAGUGCAACACGCCUCUGAAAGUAGAAUCAAAUUCUUUCCCAUUAAUGGAGAUAAUUCUUAUAUUACAUUUUUUUGUAAUAAACAAUAUUUGUUUAAGCCAGAGAAUCCUCAUUCCCUUCAUAUGUGCUGCAGGGUUCGAUUUGGUAGAAUCUACAACAGAACAACUCCCUUGGGCACAUAUGUCUUGGUGGCCAUAUGAUGAUGAAAAUUCCAAUAUCCAAGAUCAAAAUUUCAACUCUGUAAACUAUAUAUGCAUGGAGAUCGAGCGGCGGUAUGUAAAAGCUUCUCAUUUACUUGAUUGAAAACCAAUGUAGAUACAUUUCUAUGAUGUAACUAUGCCAUGUGGCAUUUUAGAAAUUCCCUCCAAAGGAAGCUGGGAGCAUAAAGUUAUUGCUAUGGAAUUUGUCCUGCCCUAUUUUGUUCUUGAUACACACCUACUUGGAGCAUAAAGUCACAACCUACAAGAUUAGAUGCAAUACACUCAGCUGAAGGACUUGUGAAUUGUUUCUAUGUGGACGUUGCAAUACCUCUUGAGAGGACAUACCAUUACCGAACAUGUCAAUCCCCAACUGAACUAUAUGCAACUGAAUGUGCCUCAGGCUUGUUUCAACGCUACAGAUUUCUUCACUCCACUUGUCGAUUGCUGGUUGAGGCAAAAAGCUAUGCUGAUGCAGACCUGAAAGAGAAAAAAAGAGAUAGAAAGGAGAUGCCGAGGUGGACAGGAGUUCUGUGAGAGGUACCAUCUCAUCUCGCCCUGUGAUGUCCUGUCCAAGAAAGAAGAAGAAAAGGAGAAGAAAAACGGACGAUCAUGAGGCAGGCACCCCAUGUCAUGAGAAUCACAAGAAGUUAGGAUCACCAAACUUUUCCUGUUGGAAAAUGAUAUAUGCCUCAGCAGCAUUCACAGUGGAUGUCAAGCAACUUGCCAAAUGGCCAGCAGAGUUAUAUUAUACCCGAAUUUUGUAUCUUUUCUUACCAGGAUACGCGAGAUGAACCAUUGUUGUUUACUCUACCGAUGUUUUUUUUUUUCUUGUUUCGGUUUUUUUUACUCUAUAGAUGUUGAAAUGCAAAAAUAGGAGGGAAACAAUAUACUUAGUAGGUUGUAUCCUUUUUUUUCAUGCACAAG